ACUCCCUACCCGAGGCCCCAGCGGAGGAGCCGAAGCCCACACCCAGCAGACGACCAGAACCGCGCCGAACAGGCAGCCAGUGGGCACCCGCCGGCGAGCCCAGAGCCAGCAGGGGCCCGACCCCAGGCCAGAAGGACCCGGAACGGAUGCAGCACCAGGAGCAGCCCGCCCAGGGAGGACGACCACACCCCAAGCCGCAUAAGGCACCAGGGGGCCGCUGGGAGUCUCCCCGCCGGCCCCCAGGCACCCCAACCUAGCCCCCCACGGCGCCCCAGAUCACCCUUCACUGAUGCCGCCCGCGCCACGAGCUUCAGUUCUUUUUUUUUUUUUUAAAGCCAGGGCCCCCUCCAAGGGCCAAGCCAGACCGCCCCGCCGGGAUGUGGCCCCCUAUUCCGGCCCCCGACACCCUACCUCACGGGGCACUGCCCAAGCAGGGGCCGCACCAGUAGGUACGCAAGGGCGCGGCACGCGCCACCCGCCCCGAAAGACCCCCGCCAGGACCGGCCCGGCCAGCAGGCCAAGCACCCCGGGCCCCAGGAGCACCCCCCGGGACCAGGACCCCCCAAGGGCAAGCCCCCGGGCCAAGCCCCCCGGGACGCAUCCCCCACCCCCGCCCGGGACCCGGCCACGGCCCAGCAGGACCGCACAGCAGCCCAGGGCCCGCCGCCCCCCGGACAGCGCCAACCACGGAGCAGCGCCCCCCGCCGGCCCGCGAGCAACCGGCGAUCCCCACCGCGGGGACGGAGGCACCCCAACGGCACACAUCAAGUGCGGGACAGCAGCCCCCAGCCAAAGAUGCCCCGGACCCACCCACCAGUCCGCAAACGGCAGGAUAGACCCACCAGGCGGCCGACAGCAACCCUCACCACCGGAACAGCUAGCGCCGCCCCCCAGUAAACAGCAUCACCCCGAGGCGCCAAGCAACCCCGCCCCAACCCCGGCGAGGACACCAGCACCCCCCCAGCACACCCACCCCCCAAACCGGCGAGGCAGGCCGCCCCGGGCCCGCACACCGCGGGGCCCGCCCCCAAGGCCACCAGGAGACAAAGCAAGCACCAAGCCACACCCAAGGGGGAGAGGCACCCCCGCGCCCCACCCGGCCGACACAGCCCGGAAAGACCCCGCAAGGAGAGACCCCGGCAAAGCCCCCCCGAGACCCACCGCCACGCCCGAC
rnacentral:lncRNA from 1 species